GACGAACGCUGGCGGCGUGCUUAACACAUGCAAGUCGAACGGAAAGGCCCUGCUUUUGUGGGGUGCUCGAGUGGCGAACGGGUGAGUAACACGUGAGUAACCUGCCCUUUACUUUGGGAUAACUUCAGGAAACUGGGGCUAAUACCUGAUAGGAGCUCCUGCUGCAUGGGGGGGGUUGGAAAGUUUCGGCGGUUGGGGAUGGACUCGCGGCUUAUCAGCUUGUUGGUGGGGUAGUGGCUUACCAAGGCUUUGACGGGUAGCCGGCCUGAGAGGGUGACCGGCCACAUUGGGACUGAGAUACGGCCCAGACUCCUACGGGAGGCAGCAGUGGGGAAUAUUGCACAAUGGGCGGGAGCCUGAUGCAGCAACGCCGCGUGCGGGAUGACGGCCUUCGGGUUGUAAACCGCUUUCGCCUGUGACGAAGCGUGAGUGACGGUAAUGGGUAAAGAAGCACCGGCUAACUACGUG
rnacentral:rRNA from 1 species